GACAGAGGUGGCAAACGUUGUUCGGAAUUACUGGGCGUAAAGCGAGUGUAGGCGGUUCGAUAAGUCGGAUGUGAAAGCCCCGGGCUCAACCCGGGAAGUGCACUCGAUACUGUCGAGCUAGAGUAUCGGAGAGGUUGGUGGAAUUCUCGGUGUAGAGGUGAAAUUCGUAGAUAUCGAGAGGAACACCGGUGGCGAAGGCGGCCAACUGGACGAAUACUGACGCUGAGACUCGAAAGCGUGGGGAGCAAACAGG
rnacentral:rRNA from 1 species